GACGAACGCUAGCGGCGUGCUUAACACAUGCAAGUCGAACGGGCUCUGUCUGGCUGUGUGCUGGGUGGGGUUAGUGGCGAACGGGUGAGUAAUACGUGAGUAACCUGCCCUCUUCUUUGGGAUAAGCCUUGGAAACGGGGUCUAAUACUGGAUAUUCCUGUCUGGUCGCAUGGCUGGGUGGGGAAAGUUUUUUUCGGUGGGGGAUGGGCUCGCGGCCUAUCAGCUUGUUGGUGGGGUGAUGGCCUACCAAGGCGUCGACGGGUAGCCGGCCUGAGAGGGUGACCGGCCACACUGGGACUGAGAUACGGCCCAGACUCCUACGGGAGGCAGCAGUGGGGGAUAUUGCACAAUGGGCGCAAGCCUGAUGCAGCGACGCCGCGUGGGGGAUGACGGCUUUCGGGUUGUAAACCUCUUUCGUCGGGGGACAAGGCUCUGCUUGGUGGUGGGGUUGAGGGUACCCGGUGAAGAAGCGCCGGCUAACUACGUG
rnacentral:rRNA from 1 species